rnacentral:rRNA from 1 species
AUUGAACGCUGGCGGCAUGCCUUACACAUGCAAGUCGAACGGUAACAGCACUUCGGUGGCUGACGAGUGGCGAACGGGUGAGUAAUACAUCGGAACGUGCCCGAGAGUGGGGGAUAACGCAGCGAAAGCUGUGCUAAUACCGCAUACGAUCUACGGAUGAAAGCAGGGGACCGCAAGGCCUUGCGCUCAUGGAGCGGCCGAUGGCAGAUUAGGUAGUUGGUGGGAUAAAAGCUUACCAAGCCGACGAUCUGUAGCUGGUCUGAGAGGACGACCAGCCACACUGGGACUGAGACACGGCCCAGACUCCUACGGGAGGCAGCAGUGGGGAAUUUUGGACAAUGGGCGAAAGCCUGAUCCAGCCAUGCCGCGUGCAGGAUGAAGGCCUUCGGUUGUAAACUGCUUUUGUACGGUAACGAAAAGGUCUUUUCUAAUUAAAGAAGGACUCAUGACGGUACCGUAAGAAUAAGCACCGGCUAACUACGUGCCAGC